UACGUAGGGUGCGAGCGUUAAUCGGAAUUACUGGGCGUAAAGCGUGCGCAGGCGGUUUUGUAAGCCAGAUGUGAAAGCCCCGGGCUUAACCUGGGAAUGGCAUUCGGGACUGCAAGGCUUGAGUGCGGCAGAGGAGACUGGAAUUCCUGGUGUAGCAGUGAAAUGCGUAGAUAUCAGGAGGAAUACCGAUGGCGAAGGCAGGUCUCUGGGCUGACACUGACGCUCAUGCACGAAAGCGUGGUGAGCAAACAGG
rnacentral:rRNA from 1 species